rnacentral:rRNA from 1 species
UACAGAGAGUGCAAACGUUGUUCGGAAUUACUGGGCUUAAAGCGCACGUAGGUGGCAUCGUAAGUGUCAGGUGAAAUCCCACGGCUCACCCGUGGAACUGCCUGGCAUACUGCGAUGCUCGAGUGUGGUAGGGGAGAGCGGAACUCUUGGUGGAGCGGUGAAAUGCGUAGAUAUCAAGAGGAACACCGGUGGCGAAGGCGGCUCUCUGGUCCACAACUGACACUGAGGUGCGAAAGCUAGGGGAGCAAAC